rnacentral:rRNA from 1 species
UUGACGGGGCCCGCACAAGCGGUGGAGCAUGUGGUUUAAUUCGACGCAACGCGAAGAACCUUACCAGGGCUUGACAUCCCCUGACCGCGUAUGAAAGUACGUUUUCACCUCGGGUGACAGGGAGACAGGUGGUGCAUGGUUGUCGUCAGCUCGUGUCGUGAGAUGUUGGGUUAAGUCCCGCAACGAGCGCAACCCCUACGUUUAGUUGCUAACGCGUGAAGGCGAGCACUCUAGACGAACUGCCGUUGACAAAACGGAGGAAGGUGGGAUGACGUCAAAUCAUCAUGCCCCUUAUGUUCUGGGCUACACACGUGCUACAAUGGCCGGUACAGACGGACGCAAAGCCGCGAGGUGGAGCAAAUCCUAAAAAGCCGGUCUCAGUUCGGAUUGCAGGCUGCAAUUCCCCUGCAUGAAGUCGGAAUCGCUAGUAAUCGCAGGUCAGCAUACUGCGGUGAAUACGUUCCCGGGGCUU